CCCUUAGAUGUUCUGGGCAGCACGCGCGCUACAAUGGUCUUCGCAAACGGAUGCAUUCUCGAAGGAGAAUGCCAAUCUUGGAAUCUAUGCCUUGGUCGGGACAGUUGCUUGCAAUUUUUCGACUCGAACCAGGAAUUCCUUGUAAUCGUGAUUCAUCACAUCACGAUGAAUACGUCCCUGCCCUUUGUACACACCGCCCGUCGCUCCUACCGAUCGAAGAGUUAGGUGAAUUGUUUUGAUCGAUAAGAUUUGACUAUGGUCAACUCUCGUUGUGAAAUUCGGUGAAUCUGACUGUUUAGAGGAAGGAAAAGUCGUAACA
rnacentral:rRNA from 1 species